AUUGAACGCUGGCGGCAGGCCUAACACAUGCAAGUCGAACGAGUGGCGGACGGGUGAGUAAUGUCUGGUAAACUGCCUGAUGGAGGGGGAUAACUACUGGAAACGGUAGCUAAUACCGCAUACCAUCGGAUGUGCCCAGAUGGGAUUAGCUAGUAGGUGGGGUAACGGCUCACCUAGGCGACGAUCCCUAGCUGGUCUGAGAGGAUGACCAGCCACACUGGAACUGAGACACGGUCCAGACUCCUAGGGAAGGCAGCAGUGGGGAAUAUUGCACAAUGGGGGCAAGCCUGAGUCAGCCAUGCCGCGUGGUUGAAGAAGGCCUUGGGGUUGUAAAGUACUUUCAGCGGGGAGGCGUUACCCGCAGAAGAAGCACCGGCUAACUCCGUGCCAGCAGCCGCGGUAAUUC
rnacentral:rRNA from 1 species